ACGGAAGGCAGCAGUGAGGAAUAUUGGUCAAUGGCCGGAAGGCUGAACCAGCCAUGCCGCGUGCAGGAAUAAGGCCCUAUGGGUCGUAAACUGCUUUUGUGGUGGAGCAAUAAGGCGUACGUGUACGCCGAUGAGAGUACAUCACGAAUAAGCAUCGGCUAACUCCGUGCCAGCAGCCGCGGUAAUACGGAGGAUGCAAGCGUUAUCCGGAUUUAUUGGGUUUAAAGGGUGCGUAGGCUGUGGUGCAAGUCAGUGGUGAAAGCCCGGGGCUUAACUCCGGAACUGCCAUUGAUACUGUACCGCUGGAAUACGGAUGCCGUGGGAGGAAUGAGUAGUGUAGCGGUGAAAUGCAUAGAUAUUACUCAGAACACCGAUUGCGAAGGCAUCUCACGAAUCCGUCAUUGACGCUGAGGCACGAAAGCGUGGGGAUCAAACAGGAUUAGAUACCCUGGUA
rnacentral:rRNA from 1 species